GGUCUCGUGGCCGAGUGGCUAGGCAGUGGUCUGCAAAACCAUCCACAGCGGUUCGAAUCCGCUCGAGACCU
rnacentral:tRNA from 2 species